UUUCAAAUUUAUAACUAACUACAAAAUAAAAAGGAAAAAAAAAUAGUGGCGUCUCGUAAUAAAGGUCACAUCAUCAGAACCGGAGCGUCGUUGAUGAACCGGCUGUUGGCAAAUCAGGUUCUCAAUCUCCAACUCUCUCUCCUUUUUGCCUCGAAACGACGCCGAUUCCCUCACUAAGGUCUCGUCUAUGGGGUUUCUGUUUCUCUAUCUGUUUCAGCCCGAUGGUGAUUCACCGAACGAAAGAGCCGACGCUAUUAUUUCCCAGAAGAACGUGUCAGCUUAGUUCUCAUCAGAUGCAAGAGGAAUCAUGGAUAUUUUGCUGGUAUGUCAGUGUUUAAUCUCUUUAUGUGAAUCAAUUAACUUUCGGAAAUUCCACUUUACUAGUAGUAUCCGCAUUGUACUUCGUGAUUUGUGUGAAAUAUAGUUUGAUUUGAAAAUUUAGAAUGGCUGGUUAAGUGGAUUGGAUCAGAAUCCAACUUUUAGUUUUUGGUACAAAAGAGGCCUCGUCCUCAAUGUCACAAUUUAAGAGAGAAGUCAUGAACACUAGAGUUUGAUUGGGAUACAAAUGUUUAUAUUAUUGCAACUGGAGAAGCAUUUUUCUUGACAAAA